UAGGGAAUCUUCGGCAAUGGACGAAAGUCUGACCGAGCAACGCCGCGUGAGUGAAGAAGGUUUUCGGAUCGUAAAACUCUGUUGUUAGAGAAGAACAAGGACGUUAGUAACUGAACGUCCCCUGACGGUAUCUAACCAGAAAGCCACGGCUAACUACGUGCCAGCAGCCGCGGUAAUACGUAGGUGGCAAGCGUUGUCCGGAAUUAUUGGGCGUAAAGCGAGCGCAGGCGGUUUCUUAAGUAUGAUGUGAAAGCCCACGGCUCAACCGGGGAGGGUCAUUAGAAACUGGGAGACUUGAGUGCAGAAGAGGAGUGUGCAAUUCCAUGUGUAGCGGUGAAAUGCGUAGAUAUAUGGAGGCACCCCAGUGGCGAAGGCGGCUCUCUGGUCUGUAACUGACGCUGAGGCUCGAAAGCGUGGGGCGCAAACAGG
rnacentral:rRNA from 1 species